GGUUUAUAUUUUAUUCCGGUUAUUUUCGAGUUUAUCGUAAUUAUGAGACAAACUGAUGUCUAGGCCUACUAAAAACGAGUGAUUUUCCUAAUCAAGCGUAGCCACAUCGCAACAUAAGCUUAUAUAAGCAACUCAAAUCCUUAGGGUCAGGUUGGUAAUGCUGCAACUUUUAAAAUAAUUUAUGUUAGCUGUGCUGUAGAAAUAAUCAGCUGUGAAAAGAAUCAGUUAAGUGUUUAGUAAAUUUUAUUUUCAAAAGUACUAUAAAUUUUGAAAGCAGUUAUGGGUGUUUGGUAAAUCUUAUUAUUAAACUGCUGUAAGAAAAUAAAUGACUAAAAUGUACAUAAUGUAGGAUGAAAUUUACUUAUACAUAUAAAAAUGUACACGUACAAUAUCUCGUUGAAUCAAAUAAUUUUUUUUUAUAAAAAUGCGAAAUUGGCAUAUUAACUUCUUGCCAAGCAGCAUAAACGUAGCACUUUCUAUAGCUUUGUGCCCUGUAGCUUUAGUUACACAAAUUAUUCUUACUAAAAAAACGAAGCGUCUUGAUAGUUGAAGGAAUUUUUCUUAUGACAAACAAUGAAUAUUAUAAUAAAAAUUUCAUAGGCAUAGAAUUGUUUAUAUAUAAACAAACCCAAAUAAGACAAACAACAAAUAUUAUAAUAAAAAUUACAUUGAAUAUGCAUGAAAAGGGUGAUGAAUCACUUACUGUUCUUGAAUAUGGUGAUGGAACACGUACUGGAUCUUGCUUUAUUGCACUAGAGAAGUUUUGAUAGAACACAAAAUAUGAAGAAAUAGGAUAAACGAAAGGUGUGCGUUAAUUAUAAUAAAAAAUUAUUAAAAUAUUGAUUUUAUUUCCAAUUUAAAUAAGGAUAAUUUCGGGUUUAAGUAAUAAUUGUAAGGAUAUUUAUGGAAUUAUAUUAAAGGAUAAAAUUGAUUCUCAAAAUCAGAAUCUAAAAGUUAUUUCUUCUCUGCUUUUCAAAAUCAGCUGUAGGAGGAGUUGAUUCUGGCAAAAGUGAUUUUGAUUUUUUUUUACCAAACACCAAAAUUAAUUUUUAGAUUUUUAAAAUCACUUUUAACCCUCCCAAAAACAAUCCCAAAUGGGGCCUUAGUAUUGAAAUCAUCGAGCCUUGUUUGUUUUCCCUUCAGGUCUUAGGUUUUAUUUAGUGUUAAGAUGAUGUGAUAUAAAAGUCAUAGUACUAUAGGAAAAAAAAAUUAGUAAUGAAAUAAA
rnacentral:lncRNA from 1 species